rnacentral:rRNA from 1 species
GACGAACGCUGGCGGCGUGCUUAACACAUGCAAGUCGAACGGUGAAGCCCUUCGGGGUGGAUCAGUGGCGAACGGGUGAGUAACACGUGAGCAACCUGCCCCUGGCUCUGGGACAACCACUGGAAACGGUGGCUAAUACCGGAUACGACCCGCCUCGGCAUCGAGUGUGGGUGGAAAGUUUUUCGGCUGGGGCUGGGCUCGCGGCCUAUCAGCUUGUUGGUGAGGUGAAGGCUCACCAAGGCGACGACGGGUAGCCGGCCUGAGAGGGCGACCGGCCACACUGGGACUGAGACACGGCCCAGACUCCUACGGGAGGCAGCAGUGGGGAAUAUUGCACAAUGGGCGCAAGCCUGAUGCAGCGACGCCGCGUGAGGGAUGACGGCCUUCGGGUUGUAAACCUCUUUCAGCUCCGAAGAAGCGAAAGUGACGGUAGGAGCAGAAGAAGCACCGGCUAACUACGUG